UGGUUCUCGCAUCGAUGAAGAACGCAGCGAAUUGCGAUACGUAAUAUGACUUGCAGACGUGAAUCAUUGAAUUUUUGAACGCACAUUGCGCCUUGAGGUAUUCCUCAAGGCAUGAUUGUUUGAGCGUUUGUUAAUCCUCAAACCCUCGGGUUUUGUUUUUGGCCCCCAGUGGCUCAAAUAUUUUGCAUUCUUUCUACUAAGUUUAAAGAAUUUUUUUAUCAAAACCUCAAAUCAAUCAAGACUACCCGCUGA
rnacentral:misc_RNA from 1 species